UACAGAGGUCCCGAGCGUUGUUCGGAUUCAUUGGGCGUAAAGGGUGCGUAGGCGGUCUGCUAAGUUUGAUGUGAAAUCCCGGGGCUCAACCCUGGAAUGGCAUUGAAUACUGGGCGGACUAGAGUACCGGAGAGGAAACUGGAAUUUACGGUGUAGCAGUGAAAUGCGUAGAGAUCGUAAGGAAGACCAGUGGCGAAGGCGGGUCUCUGGACAGUUCCUGACACUGAGGCACGAAGGCCAGGGGAGCAAACGGG
rnacentral:rRNA from 1 species